CAGCUGUUGUGAUCCGGUAUAAAUACAGCUGAUAUCAAGGCUCAUGAAUCAUUGUCGAACAUUUCAUUUCAACUGGGCGACAUGAAGACAACAUUGAGCUACACAUUGAUGCUUCUCGGUGUUCUCUGCGCCACACUCGCAGUGACCGACGCCGGUGUCAAUCGCCGCGGAUUCCGCAUUUCUGACAACGGUGGCUCCCAUGAGCGCGGAAUAGGCGGCGGAGUCGAAGGCGGAGUCGAAGACAGAAUCGGAGGCGGCUACGGAGGCGGGUACGGAGGCGGAGCGAGAGGCGGAUUCGGAGGCGGAAUCGGCGGCGGAUACUCGGGCGGAGACGGAGGAUUCAGAGGCGGACUCGGAGGCGGAUUCGGCGGCGGCGGAUACGCGGGGGGAGGAGACGAAGGCAGAGCAGGAGGCGAGCUCACAGAUCUAUUUAUAUGCGGCGGGUACGGCAAACCGCUCUGUCCUACGCCAUCCCACGACCCGCUGCUCCCUGGUACUACCCCUUCGGUUUCAAUGGAAACAUCUACAACGCAACUUUCGUGAAUGCGUGACACACCGGCGUCGACAAUUUUAAAGCCAUGCCAAAUCAGCAUCCGACGAAGUGUUAGGUGAGAGACGCACAACAAAAACCGAAUUGUAAUGAACUUUUCAGUACCUAUUUAAGUAGGACAUAGGCGGCAAUUAGGUACUACCUAUACAUGGGCAAACUACAUGACAUGAAACUUUUGAAGGUUCGGCUAAUAUAUUUUCAACAACUGAA